rnacentral:rRNA from 1 species
AAGUCGAACGAAGCGAUUUAACGGAAGUUUUCGGAUGGAAGUUGAAUUGACUGAGUGGCGGACGGGUGAGUAACGCGUGGGUAACCUGCCUUGUACUGGGGGACAACAGUUAGAAAUGACUGCUAAUACCGCAUAAGCGCACAGUAUCGCAUGAUACAGUGUGAAAAACUCCGGUGGUACAAGAUGGACCCGCGUCUGAUUAGCUAGUUGGUAAGGUAACGGCUUACCAAGGCGACGAUCAGUAGCCGACCUGAGAGGGUGACCGGCCACAUUGGGACUGAGACACGGCCCAAACUCCUACGGGAGGCAGCAGUGGGGAAUAUUGCACAAUGGGCGAAAGCCUGAUGCAGCGACGCCGCGUGAGUGAAGAAGUAUUUCGGUAUGUAAAGCUCUAUCAGCAGGGAAGAAAAUGACGGUACCUGACUAAGAAGCCCCGGCUAACUACGUGCCAGCAGCCGCGGUAAUACGUAGGGGGCAAGUGUUAUCCGGAUUUACUGGGUGUAAAGGGAGCGUAGACGGUAAAGCAAGUCUGAAGUGAAAGCCCGCGGCUCAACUGCGGGACUGCUUUGGAAACGGUUUAACUGGAGUGUCGGAGAGGUAAGUGGAAUUCCUAGUGUAGCGGUGAAAUGCGUAGAUAUUAGGAGGAACACCAGUGGCGAA